UUGUGCCUCCGCCGCCCUARAUGAUGGACGGCGGGUUUGGGAUGGCUGCUGAGAGCAACCAGUUGGGAUAAGUGGUGCAUUUGCAAGUGAAGUGCGCCRAAGCAUGUUAGCUGGCGGCUGGGCUUUGGUCUUGAGGAUAUUUGCUUUACGGCGGGUAAACCCCGGGCCAGGUCAACAGGCUGUUCGGUUGGCAUUGCAGACUUUGGGACUCGCGGUUUACCGUGGGAAUUCGUGUUCGGUCAGUUGGGUUUCAGGUGUCGGUCGCAUGCGACACGUGCUUGUUUACUUCUCUGACUAGGGCGCGGGUUCUGGUCUCGGAUUUCGGUGUAAAAGUUGGUCAUCUAUCUGACCCGUCUUGAAACACGGACCAAGGAGUUUAGCGUAUGCGCAAGUUAUUGAGUGUUGAAAACUCAAAAGCAGAAUGAAAGUAAAGAUGUCGUUUUGCGUCAUUGAUAUGUGAUCCGGUGAGCUACGGCCGACCGGCGCAGCAUAGCCCCUCUCUAGUUGCUUGCAACGGGGCGGAGGAAGAGCGUAUGCGGUGAGACCCGAAAGAUGGUGAACUAUGCCUGAGCAGGAUGAAGCCAGAGGAAACUCUGGUGGAGGUCCGAAGCGGUUCUGACGUGCAAAUCGAUCGUCUGAUUUGGGUAUAGGGGCGAAAAGACUAAUCGAAACCAUCUAGUAGCUGG
rnacentral:rRNA from 1 species